GACGAACGCUGGCGGCGUGCCUAAUACAUGCAAGUUGAGCGCUGAAGGUUGGUACUUGUACCAACUGGAUGAGCAGCGAACGGGUGAGUAACGCGUGGGGAAUCUGCCUUUGAGCGGGGGACAACAUUUGGAAACGAAUGCUAAUACCGCAUAAAAACUUUAAACACAAGUUUUAAGUUUGAAAGAUGCAAUUGCAUCACUCAAAGAUGAUCCCGCGUUGUAUUAGCUAGUUGGUGAGGUAAAGGCUCACCAAGGCGAUGAUACAUAGCCGACCUGAGAGGGUGAUCGGCCACAUUGGGACUGAGACACGGCCCAAACUCCUACGGGAGGCAGCAGUAGGGAAUCUUCGGCAAUGGACGAAAGUCUGACCGAGCAACGCCGCGUGAGUGAAGAAGGUUUUCGGAUCGUAAAACUCUGUUGGUAGAGAAGAACGUUGGUGAGAGUGGAAAGCUCAUCAAGUGACGGUAACUACCCAGAAAGGGACGGCUAACUACGUGCCAGCCGCCGCGGUAA
rnacentral:rRNA from 1 species